CCGCCACCGCCUAUAUACCGCCGUCGUCAGCUUACCCUAUGAAGGACAAACAGUAAGCAGAAUCAGUAAUACUCAAAACGUCAGGUCGAGGUGUAGCAAAUGAAAGAGGAAGAAAUGGGCUACAUUUCCUACGCCGCAGGAAAUACGAAAAGUUUACUGAAAGCUAAACUAGAAGGAGGAUUUAGUAGUAAGGGAGAAAUAGAGUGUCUCCCUGAAAUUGGCCCUUAAGCGCGCACACACCGCCCGUCACUCUCCCCGAGCUAAAAAAUAUCAAUUCAUAAUACCUAUUAACAGCAAAGGGGAGGCAAGUCGUAACAUGGUAAGUGUACCGGAAGGUGUACUUGGGUAAA
rnacentral:rRNA from 1 species